CAGUGAAAUGCUGUAGACUUGGUGUCUUUGGAUUAACCCCACGGAAGCAUUUUAAAGCUAAUGCUUUAUUAUGUUAAAGUGGCCUGCAAAGGAAUCUAGCACCGCCUAACCUUGUCAACAUAUUAAAACGUUGCCUCGGCAGGUUUGCCUGCCGGCGGACACUAUAAAAAUCUUUUAAACUUAAGCUUUAUUUAGUGAAUAGUCUGAUAAUAAAUUUAAUAAAAAUUA
rnacentral:misc_RNA from 1 species